rnacentral:rRNA from 1 species
AGGUUGAUUCUGCCUGACGUGGAUGCUAGUCUCAUAGGUUUAGCCAUGCAUGUGUCAGCGAAGCAAAUGCGGAGCGGCGGACGGCUCAGUAAAGGGCGUCUUAUUUUAUCUUUUGGAGUGGACAACCAUGGGAAACUACGGGGAAAACACUUAGCAGGCAGAGGGUAUUUGUCAUGCAAACUUUAAAGUGCAAAAGAGUAAGGAGCCAUCCCAUCAGUUAGUAAGUAGGGUAAGGGCCUAUUUAGACUAAGACGGGUACGGGGGAUCAGGGUUUGGUUCCGGAGAGG